UACGUAGGGGGCAAGCGUUAUCCGGAAUCACUGGGCGUAAAGGGUGCGUAGGCGGCCAAUAAAGUCAGAGGUGAAAGGCUACGGCUCAACCGUAGUAAGCCUUUGAAACUUAUUGGCUUGAGUGCAGGAGAGGAGAGUGGAAUUCCUAGUGUAGCGGUGAAAUGCGUAGAUAUUAGGAGGAACACCAGUGGCGAAGGCGACUCUCUGGACUGUAACUGACGCUGAGGCGCGAAAGCUAGGGGAGCAAACA
rnacentral:rRNA from 1 species